AUUGAACGCUGGCGGCAGGCCUAACACAUGCAAGUCGAGCGGAUGAAGGGAGCUUGCUCCUGGAUUCAGCGGCGGACGGGUGAGUAAUGCCUAGGAAUCUGCCUGGUAGUGGGGGAUAACGUCCGGAAACGGGCGCUAAUACCGCAUACGUCCUGAGGGAGAAAGUGAGGGAUCUUCGGACCUCACGCUAUCAGAUGAGCCUAGGUCGGAUUAGCUAGUUGGUGGGGUAAAGGCCUACCAAGGCGACGAUCCGUAACUGGUCUGAGAGGGUGAUCAGUCACACUGGAACUGAGACACGGUCCAGACUCCUACGGGAGGCAGCAGUGGGGAAUAUUGGACAAUGGGCGAAAGCCUGAUCCAGCCAUGCCGCGUGUGUGAAGAAGGUCUUCGGAUUGUAAAGCACUUUAAGUUGGGAGGAAGGGCAGUAAGUUAAUACCUUGCUGUUUUGACGUUACCAACAGAAUAAGCACCGGCUAACUUCGUG
rnacentral:rRNA from 1 species